UACGGAAGGCAGCAGUGGGGAAUAUUGCACGAAUGGGCGCAAGCCCUGAUGCAGCCAUGCCGCGUGUAUGAAGAAGGCCUUCGGGUUGUAAAGUACUUUCAGUCGUGAGGAAGGUGUUAAGGUUAAUAACCUUAGCAUUGACGUUAGCGACAGAAGAAGCACCGGCUAACUCCGUGCCAGCAGCCGCGGUAAUACGGAGGGUGCGAGCGUUAAUCGGAAUUACUGGGCGUAAAGGGCACGCAGGCGGUUAAUUAAGUUGGAUGUGAAAUCCCCGGGCUUAACCUGGGAAUGGCAUUCAAGACUGGUUAGCUAGAGUCUUGUAGAGGGGGUAGAAUUCCAUGUGUAGCGGUGAAAUGCGUAGAGAUGUGGAGGAAUACCGGGUGGCGAAGGCGGCCCCUGGGACAAAGACUGACGCUCAUGUGCGAAACGCGUGGGGAGCAAACAGGAUUAGAUACC
rnacentral:rRNA from 1 species